ACACAAGUGCUGUGUAUCACAAUACUGCUGGGACUGACGUACAGCGAAAACUCACUGGUAAAGGCGGCAGCAGUGAGAGCUCUAGGCGUAUACAUCCUCUUUCCCUGCCUGAGAGAGGAUGUGAUGUUUGUGGCAGACACGGCUAAUGCCAUCCUCACUGCUCUGGAUGACCGCUCACCCAACGUUCGUGCAAAGGCAGCCUGGUCGCUUGGCAACCUCACGGACACGCUCAUUGUCAACAUGCAGUCAGUGGGGUUGGAGUUUCAGGAGGAGUUCUCUGAUAUGCUGCUUCUGAACAUGCUGAGAUCUGCCACUAAAGCUUCAGGAGAU